CCUACCAGUACGGAGUGAAAUUGUGAUAACUCCUGGCACAACCAUUAAGACCCUCAUCUAUAGUGGACUGGAACAAAGCACAGUCCAUGUUACACUUAGGUUAAAAAGAAGAAUGAAAACCCCUCAAGCCAGAUUUUAUGACUUUUUAUAUCACACUGAAAAGUCCAAUGAACUACAGAUUUCAACCAUGGAGAUUUGUGCCCUACUAUGAAACGGUGACUGUAACACAGAUUGAUGAAAGAUUCUGCAGGACGACAAAGGUUAAAGAUGUAGACCCGGAGCUAGAAGCCAGCACUGACACUGAUGGAGUGGACUGCGAUGAGAAUGCCCACAUUAUUGUCCUAUCCUCUGAUAACCAAUGUAAUAUGAAAACCGACUACAGAAGAAAGGAACAAAUUAAAUCCAUUAAUCAAGCAUAUCUCUGCUAAACAGUUGUUCGAAACUGAUGAACAAAUGAAAAAUUUACUGUUUGUUUUCAUGCUUGCAAGGAUUGGGGAAGAAAAUUAAUUAUAAGGUACUGGCCACACUAUCAGUAAAGUUUUUCUUGAGGAAACUAUUGCUUUGUCAAAGGACAAAUGAACCUCAUUAGGGAGAUUAGUUUCAGCUGGUAGUUUUGCAUUAGUACAAACUAAUAAUACACACUUCAAAAGAUACCCUGAGUAAGAUUAUGAAAAUUGAAAUCCAUUUGUUACUUCUUAAUUUACUAACUGUUAGAAAAUGACCACUCUAUUACUUAUCAUGAAACCAGAAGGAAAUCAAACACUGCUCACCUUUCAACUAAGUGCCUGAAAGAGAACUGUUGCAGUGUGGGCUUUGUGAGUGCUGCGAUGAUGAACUUACGCAUACAGGGGUUAUAACUUGGCCACGGCAUUUUACUCUUAGGUUGAAGCAUGUCAUGCAGAGCUCCAUGCCAAACGCAAUUUUUGAUAAGCUUCUUUGAAAUCCUUUUCUUUUCAAAUGUUUUAAAUGAAUUGGACAAAUAGCAAACUGACAUCUGAUAUUCUGAAUUCCCCUUAAAUCUAUACAGAGCAAGAACAGAAAAGAGAAAACGCUACUUUGCUAUCAAUCCUGUAUGGCCAGUGCACUGAGGCUCCUAAGCUGGCCACAGUGAGUGCAGUCCAGCUUCAAUGUUCAUUGAAUCCCUGGCCUUUCUGUCAAGGCAGCUAAGAACAGAGCCAAUCACUGCUCUCGGUGACGGGGAGUGCUUGGCUGCAGACACACGUCUUCCAAAACCUGGAGUGAGACCAGUCUCAUUCCAAAGAGUGUAUAAAUCAGCUGUGAAAUAAUAAUGACUUUUUUGGGUUCUACUGACCCGGCCUGGAUUCAGACUGCUGACCCAGAAAAGAAAGGCUUCACACAUCCCAUUAGCAGUCCUUUCAGCCAUUGAAGACAUCCCCAUCCAAUUCUGACUUUCUUUCCUUUACAGCAGUCUUGCUCUUUUUUACGGGCAUGUAAACCAAAUUGACGUUUACUUACUGCUUUUGUUUGGUUCCUUGAUGUAACUUCUCUAAUUUAACAGCAGCUUUCCAGGCAUAGCGUUUGAAUGAAUCAGGCCAAAUAACAUUAAAGUUCACUUUCUCAAAGCUUAAACUCUGUUACCGAGAAAAGAUGGGGGUAGAGUUUUAAAGUAUUCUUCUUAGUAUAAAACUAAACGUUUUUCUCUAGACAUAUUGUCUCGUGAUAUUUUUAAAAGCCAGCAUUAUUUUUUUUUCAGGAAAGUUAAGUCAGUCUAUAACAGUGAUUCCACGGUUUACCCUGUUGUCCUGGAGUGGGUAGGAGCUUUCAGGAGUAGCUAAGGGUUUUCUUUUUCCAAAGUAAGUGUGUCAAGUUGAAAGAAAAUUACAGGUUGUGGGACUGAGAAGUUAGAUAAUAUAAGGGCUCUUCUAAUGAAAAAAAAAAA
rnacentral:lncRNA from 1 species